GUUUCCCAGCACCCCGGCCACCCAGAUGAUGUGGGAUGGAUGUGCCAGAACUUGCCUGUCCUACCUCGCCUGCCAGGGACCAGCCGGCACCUGCUUCUGCCCCCCCAGGGGCCCCGGGUGGGCAAGCAUCGCCUCACUUGACCCUGGGCCCCGUCAUCCUGCCUCGGGAGCAGGGCUUGGCCCCCACCGUGUUCCUGAAGGCCCUGCCCAUCCCGCUGUACCACACAGUGCCUCCCGGAGGGCUCCAGCCGCGUGCUCCGCUCGUGACAGGCAGUCUGGACGGGGGCAGCCUGCCCUUCGUUCUCAGCCCCCUGCUGCAGCCUGAAGGGCCCGGUCCCACCCGAGCAGGGAAGCCGGUGGCCCCGGGGCUCACAGUGAACAUCGUGGGCGCUCUGCCCAUCCUGUCACCGGGCCUGGGGCCCGCUCUGGGCAGCCCAGGCAAGGUGCGCAACGCUGGCAGGUACCUGUGCCCACACUGCGGCCGGGACUGCCUGAAGCCCAGCGUUCUGGAGAAGCACAUUCGGUCCCACACUGGGGAGCGGCCCUUCCCCUGCGCCACCUGUGGCAUUGCCUUUAAGACCCAGAGCAACUUAUACAAGCACAGACGGACCCAGACACACCUCAACAACUCCAGACUCUCCUCGGAGUCCGACGGUGGGGGGAGCAGCCUCCUAGAGGAAAGCGAAAAGGCCGCUGAGCCCACGGGGGCCGACCGGGCGCGAUCACAAAGACCCCUUUCUCCCGGCACCCACGCCGCUGGGCACUGCGCGGUGCCCACCGCGCAUGUGUCUCUGGUUGCCAAGAACCUGGAUCGGAAGUUGGACGCUGUUCCCUGCCGGGGGUCCACGUUUGAUAUCAAGGAGGCCCCUGUAGACUCUGCUCCCGGGCUCCCGCUGGCCAGCCCGCAGUCGAGGUGGAAGCUGCCAGAGCCUCGGUCCCCGACGGCCAGUAGGCCGAGCUCAGCGCUGCAGCAACAGCAGGUGGAGAAGCCUGGAGACGCCAAGCCCUCGGAGGGCCGGCUGCGGAAGUGCGAGAGCACCGACUCGGGCUACCUGUCCCGUUCGGACAGCGCUGAGCAGCCGCCGGCCGCCGGCAGCCCCCUGCACAGCCUGUCGGAGCAUAGCAACGAGUCCGAGGGCGAGGGCGGCCCCGGGCCCGGGCACGCGGAGCGGGUGGCGGGUCUGGAGCUGGAGAAGAGGCGGCUGGAGGAACGCAUUGCCAGGCUCAUCUCGCACAACCAGGCUGUGGUGGACGACCCCCAGCUGGCCCACGUGCGGCCCCGCAAGACGGUACUGUCCAAGCAGGGCAGCAUUGACCUGCCCAUGCCUUAUACCUACAAGGACUCCUUCCACUUCGAUCUGCGGCCGCCGGGACCCGGGAGGCUGCCGGCCGCCUUGCGUGCCGCGCGCUCCACCUGCACGCCCCCAGACAGGGCGCGCCCCCUCUUCUUCCACUCGGUCCCCACGCAGCUCUCCACUGGCACCGAUUGCGUGCCAGUCACCAGGAGCAACUCACUGCCCUUCGUCGAGGGCACCGGGACGUGGCCGGAGCCGCUGGAACCUCAGGACGCCUGGCCCCGGAGGCAGAAACCUCUGAGCCCCAAGCCCACCCCCGCCCGCCCAGCUGAUGCCCCAGGCGGGCACCCUCGGGCCCUGGUCAGACAGGCAGCGGUCGAGGACCUGCCGUGCCCCCUGACUGCAGAUGCCCUGGCCCCCGUGGAGGACCCAGAGGGAAAGAGACCAGCUGCUGAGGAGGUGUCUGCCAGCAAGGGCCAGGCAGCUGCUAAGAAACGCGGCCAGAGGAAGCUGAAGAUGUUCUCACAGGAGAAAUGGCAAGUGUAUGGGAAGGACACGUUCAAGAGCAUCUACCAGAGAGCAAAAGCCAGCCACCGUGGAGGCAGAAAGGCUACCGAGGCGACAGUGGGCGGUGGGGCGGCCCUGGAGCGUCCUCUCCAGCAAGAGGCCACGGGUGGUGGGGACACUGUUAUGGGGGCCAAGCCAGGGCCGUGGGCAAGUCCGCCAGUCCUGGCAGGCCUCUUAGUGACUGAGCCCCACAAGCAGGGGGAGACAGUGGCCGGAACAGGAGGCCCUGACCAGCUGGGCUCCAACACGGCCGCCUCACCCCCCGCCCUCAGCAGUGGAGAAGCCCUCUGUUUAGGCAGCAGGAGCCCUCUGCUUCCUCCACAUGAGGGCCCACAGCUGGAGUGUCAGCAGCUCCCAGCACCUGGUCCCCGCAAAGGGGGUGAUCUAGAGGCUCCCAGGCCAGACUCCAAGCUGGAAGGUGGCACCUGCGGUGGUGAGGGCACCACGGAAACCUGUCAGCAGGCCCAUGUGGUCCCGAGAGGGCCUGGCGGGAGCUCAGGAGAGCCUAAGCCCCUGGACGACAAGCUCCCCUCAGAGAGGAAGAAGCUGAAGGUAGAGGAGCUAAGCUGCCAGGAGCUCCUGGGAGCAGGAGGAGAGACUCCUGGUGGCCCCAUGCAGACUGCCUCACCACCACCUCAGAACCAGGACACUAACCCCGGGGAAAAGCCGGGGGGGCUGCCUGGAAGCGGCAACUGCACAGAGAGGGUCAUGUCUGGAGCCCUGAGGUGGGAGGGUUCUCAAGACACGGAGCCUCCACCAUGUCCCCCUGGGUGUCCCUCCCAGAUGGCCUCCCACCCUCCGGCUCUUCACACCCUCACUGGCCCGGUGGACAUGGCCUUUCCUCCCCAGUACCUCCUCAGGUUUCCCCAGCGAGACACCUGCCCCCUGUCGCCUGUCCCCCAGAAGCUAGACCAAGGCCAGGACUCUAUCUGCAAGAGAGGGGGGCCUGAGGUACAGACAUCUUUUGCUGAGUCAGGGCAGGGGGCCCUCCUGCCUCCCUGUCCUGUCUCAGGCCAGGCCCCAGCUGGAGAAGACAGCUUCUGGGAAUACCCCAGCUGGUCCAGGUCAUGGGACCAGAGAAAGGGGGUACAGAGAGAGGAGAGGGGCGGCUUGAAUGCUGGUAUACCAACAGCCAGCGCCCUCAAAGGGUCAGCCUCCUUCUUGCCUGCCCCAACGUGCGAACCCUGGAGGAGUGGGACCCAUGAAACCCUAGAAACCUCCAGGAGCAGCACUGUGGCGAGGGCUGGGCCCUCUGGGGGUGUCCUCAAUUCCUGGGAGCCCACUGGGGAGCUGCGGGCACCUUCUGAGAGUGCCACUCAAGCCCCUCCUUUGGGGUCUCCAGCAGAGCUUAGCCCCUGCUGCUCCCACCAGGCUGGCUCCUGUCUCUCGGCCAGCACGGCUCCCCACUGGCCUGAGUUGGCCUUGUGCACCAGUGCAGAGCCUUCCCGGAGCCGUGGGGUCCAGGGCUCUUUUCCAUCGCUGAGAGCCGAGCCCCGGCUCACGUGGUGUUGCCUGAGCCGCAGCCUCCCCCUGCCGAUGGAACAGAAGGAGAAGGAUGCUUCUGUGUACCUGGGCUUACAUUUACCUGGAGGUGGCCUCCAGGGUGAGGGUCCGGACGCCUGGCUGGUGAGCAAAACAGUGUCUGGAGCAUGGACCAGGAUACGCCCUGGAGAUGGAGGGCAGAUGCAGAUAUCGAAGCUCUCUGACCCAACAGCCCAAGGGAUGCUGUCCUGGGACCGGGUGUCUGAGCCAGAGUGGAAGAAACGACGGUCUCGUAGAAGAGCGAAGAUACCUCGUGGGAGCAGCAGGUGGAAACAUCUGAGCAUCCACUCUAAAAGGUACAGAGGGAAUUUCCUGCAGAGCCGUGUCCAGCUGAGAGUCACUAGACUGCGGAAGCCACACUGGGGUCUGAGAAAAGAUGGCCAUCCACCCCGAGCCAAGGGCCUGGACUCCUGCAGGACCCAAGGGCAAGCUUCUUCAGAAAUGGCAGGUGUGACUCCGUCAGGGGAGCCCUCCUGUGUCACCUCAGGAUCAUCUGUUUGCCCUGAGAACAGAGAGCAGGAGGAAGAGGAGAGCGGACACGUCUCCCGGAGUUUCUGUCCUAACACGAGCUUAAGAACCAUCGGGGACACGGACAGACUGAUCACAAAGGAGAUUUCAUCUGCUGGUGAGCAUGGGGCUGGUUGUCCUCUAAUCACAGCUGUGGGGUCAGGUUUAUCUCUGCCAUCUGACUCCUUGGGGGCUAAUGACAGACUUCCAGCGUGCAGCAAAAGUCUCGACAUGGGAUCAUUGGAGACUCACCUGCUGCCCUCUCAGCAGCACAUCUCAGCAGACCCCACACCAUGCGUUUUCUCAGAUGCUCAAGAGCCUUCUACCUUUGUGUCCAAAGGAACCUCUCUCGGCCAUGACCUUGCUACCUCUGCAGCUGCCGUCUGUCCUUCCCUGGGGGCAAGAGCAGGCCACACAACCCUGGGAAUUCACAGUGUGGAACAGCAAGACCACAGCCAGGGUGAAGAGGAGACUCUCACACAAAGCUCUCCAGACAGAAAAACGAUAGCAGAGGGUGUGUCCCCAAACCUUUUGCCAGGGAAGCCUUCAUCUGGGCAGAGAAUUUCAGGUUCAGUUACACCAGGGUCCAUUGGAAAAAUUCAUCUUGAAAUACCAGCUUUAGGACCAGGUUCAGCUAGUUCACACCAAGAGGAAGGGAAACACAAGUCAUGUUUUCCUUCUGGGGGGCAAUGUGGGUGUAGGGAAGGGCUGGUCCCCUGCCCUCUGGUAGGACCAGAUAGUGUGAAAUGUCAAGGAACAGGAUUCGUGGCUCUAAAGGAUGAUGCCAUCCCUUCUAACCCAGGGCUGCCCACAGAGAUCCCUGCAGCCUCUUUGAAAACCCUCAGGAAGAGAAGUUUGGAAGGAAUGAGAAAGCAAACUCGUGUGGAGUCCAGCGACACCAGCAGCGAUGAUGAAGAUCGGUUAGUUAUAGAAAUCUGA
rnacentral:lncRNA from 1 species